GAGUUUGAUCCUGGCUCAGGACGAACGCUGGCGGCGCGCCUAACACAUGCAAGUCGAACGAGCGAGAGAGAGCUUGCUUUCUCGAGCGAGUGGCGAACGGGUGAGUAACGCGUGAGGAACCUGCCUCAAAGAGGGGGACAACAGUUGGAAACGACUGCUAAUACCGCAUAAGCCCACAGCUCGGCAUCGAGCAGAGGGAAAAGGAGUGAUCCGCUUUGAGAUGGCCUCGCGUCCGAUUAGCUGGUUGGUGAGGUAACGGCCCACCAAGGCGACGAUCGGUAGCCGGACUGAGAGGUUGAACGGCCACAUUGGGACUGAGACACGGCCCAGACUCCUACGGGUGGCAGCAGUGGGGAAUAUUGCACAAUGGGGGAAACCCUGAUGCAGCGACGCCGCGUGGAGGAAGAAGGUCUUCGGAUUGUAAACUCCUGUUGUUGAGGAAGAUAAUGACGGUACUCAACAAGGAAGUGACGGCUAACUACGUGCCAGCAGCCGCGGUAAAACGUAGGUCACAAGCGUUGUCCGGAAUUACUGGGUGUAAAGGGAGCGCAGGCGGGAAAGCAAGUUGGAAGUGAAAUCCAUGGGCUCAACCCAUGAACUGCUUUCAAAACUGUUUUUCUUGAGUAGUGCAGAGGUAGGCGGAAUUCCCGGUGUAGCGGUGGAAUGCGUAGAUAUCGGAGGAACACCAGUGGCGAAGGCGGCCUACUGGGCACCAACUGACGCUGAGGCUCGAAAGUGUGGGUAGCANACAGGAUUAGAUACCCUGGUAGUCCACACUGUAAACGAUGAUUACUAGGUGUUGGAGGAUUGACCCCUUCAGUGCCGCAGUUAACACAAUAAGUAAUCCACCUGGGGAGUACGACCGCAAGGUUGAGACUCAAAGGAAUUGACGGGGGCCCGCACAAGCAGUGGAGUAUGUGGUUUAAUUCGACGCAACGCGAAGAACCUUACCAAGUCUUGACAUCCUGCGACGGUGCUGGAAACAGUACUUUCCUUCGGGACGCAGAGGCAGGUGGUGCAUGGUUGUCGUCAGCUCGUGUCGUGAGAUGUUGGGUUAAGUCCCGCAACGAGCGCAACCCUUAUGGUCAGUUACUACGCAAGAGGACUCUGGCCAGACUGCCGUUGACAAAACGGAGGAAGGUGGGGAUGACGUCAAAUCAUCAUGCCCUUUAUGACUUGGGCUACACACAUACUACAAUGGCGUUAAACAAAGAGAAGCGAGACCGCGAGGUGGAGCAAAACUCAGAAACAACGUCCCAGUUCGGACUGCAGGCUGCAACUCGCCUGCGCGAAGUCGGAAUUGCUAGUAAUCGCAGAUCAGCAUGCUGCGGUGAAUACGUUCCCGGGCCUUGUACACACCGCCCGUC
rnacentral:rRNA from 1 species